rnacentral:rRNA from 1 species
AUUGAACGCUGGCGGCAUGCCUUACACAUGCAAGUCGAACGGCAGCACGGGAGCAAUCCUGGUGGCGAGUGGCGAACGGGUGAGUAAUGUAUCGGAACGUGCCCAGUCGUGGGGGAUAACGUAGCGAAAGCUACGCUAAUACCGCAUACGAUCUAUGGAUGAAAGCGGGGGAUCGCAAGACCUCGCGCGAUUGGAGCGGCCGAUAUCAGAUUAGGUAGUUGGUGGGGUAAAGGCUCACCAAGCCGACGAUCUGUAGCUGGUCUGAGAGGACGACCAGCCACACUGGGACUGAGACACGGCCCAGACUCCUACGGGAGGCAGCAGUGGGGAAUUUUGGACAAUGGGCGCAAGCCUGAUCCAGCAAUGCCGCGUGCAGGAUGAAGGCCUUCGGGUUGUAAACUGCUUUUGUACGGAACGAAACGGCGAGCUCUAAUACAGUUUGCUAAUGACGGUACCGUAAGAAUAAGCACCGGCUAACUACGUGCCAGCCGCCGCCGUAA